rnacentral:rRNA from 1 species
GACGAACGCUGGCGGCGUGCUUAACACAUGCAAGUCGAACGGAAAGACCCUGCUUUUGUGGGGUGCUCGAGUGGCGAACGGGUGAGUAACACGUGAGUAACCUGCCCUUGACUUUGGGAUAACUUCAGGAAACUGGGGCUAAUACCGGAUAGGAGCUCCUGCUGCAUGGUGGGGGUUGGAAAGUUUCGGCGGUUGGGGAUGGACUCGCGGCUUAUCAGCUUGUUGGCGGGGUAGUGGCUUACCAAGGCUUUGACGGGUAGCCGGCCUGAGAGGGUGACCGGCCACAUUGGGACUGAGAUACGGCCCAGACUCCUACGGGAGGCAGCAGUGGGGAAUAUUGCACAAUGGGCGGAAGCCUGAUGCAGCAACGCCGCGUGCGGGAUGACGGCCUUCGGGUUGUAAACCGCUUUCGCCUGUGACGAAGCGUGAGUGACGGUAAUGGGUAAAGAAGCACCGGCUAACUACGUG